CCCUGUGUGUCCUGUCCAUACGUCGUCGCCACAGAGGGCCUCACACAGCCCCAGGGGCAAACAGAUCUGGACACAGCACAGGCCAUGGCUUCCGGGAAGCUUUAAGCCUGCUGGCACAAGGUCCCUUUCCAAGGCCCCCCUGGAAGUCUGUGUGGGAUGAAGAGGAAUGAAACCAUCCUGUUUCCAGAGAAGAGCUAAAUCUGCCCUAGCACGUUUCUGUUCUCCUUUACUAGGAGCCCAGGACAUAAAUGGUUAGGACGUUGUCACACAGUUCCCCGCCACAGUCAGCAGGAGCUGCAUGCUUAUCUGUGCUGAGGCUUCCAAAGGCACGCACUGAGUCCAAGACCAAUUGUCCGGUCUUGAGUUUUAUUACAGAUGAGUCUGAGAAGAAAACAUUAACUGUGCUACUACUAACUAUGAGAUGGAAUAAAAUCUAUUUGUCUGUC